GGUUAAGUUACAAAGGGCGCACGGUGGAUGCCUUGGCACUAGGAGCCGAUGAAGGACGGAACUAAUACCGAUAUGCUUCGGGGAGCUAUAAGUAAGCUUUGAUCCGGAGAUUUCCGAAUGGGGGAACCCAGUACACAUCAGUGUAUUGCUUGUCAGUGAAUACAUAGCUGGCCGGCGGCAGACGCGGGGAACUGAAACAUCUCAGUACCCGCAGGAAGAGAAAGAAAACUCGAUUCCCAUAGUAGCGGCGAGCGAAGUGGGAAGAGCCCAAACCGAGAAGCUUGCUUCUCGGGGUUGUAGGACUGGACAUUGAGUUACCAAAGUCCGACGUAGUCGAAGUCAGCUGGAAAGCUGCGCCACAGAAGGUGAAAGCCCUGUAAGCGAAACGUCGAACCCUCCGUCCAGGAUCCUGAGUACGGCGGAACACGUGAAAUUCCGUCGGAAUCCGGGAGGACCAUCUCCCAAGGCUAAAUACUCCCUAGUGACCGAUAGUGAACCAGUACCGUGAGGGAAAGGUGAAAAGCACCCCGGAAGGGGAGUGAAACAGUUCCUGAAACCGUGUGCCUACAAUUAGUCAAAGCCCGUUAAUGGGUAAUGGCGUGCCUUUUGUAGAAUGAACCGGCGAGUUACGUUUGCUUGCGAGGUUAAGAUGAAAAAAGUCGGAGCCGUAGCGAAAGCGAGUCUGAACAGGGCGAAUGAGUAAGCAGAUGUAGACCCGAAACCAAGUGACCUACCCAUGACCAGGUUGAAGGUGUGGUGAAACACACUGGAGGACCGAACCCAUGUAUGUUGAAAAAUGCUGGGAUGAGUUGUGGGUAGCGGUGAAAUUCCAAACGAACUUGGAGAUAGCUGGUUCUCUCCGAAAUAGCUUUAGGGUUAGCCUCGGAGGAUGGAUCAUGGAGGUAGAGCACUGUUUGAACUAGGGGCCCAUCAAGGGUUACUGAAUUCAGAUAAACUCCGAAUACCAUCGAUCUUACUCCGGGAGUCAGACAGUGAGCGAUAAGGUCCAUUGUCGAAAGGGGAACAGCCCAGAUCACCAGUUAAGGUCCCUAAAUUUAUGCUAAGUGGAAAAGGAUGUGGCGUUGCACAGACAACUAGGAUGUUGGCUCAGAAGCAGCCACCAUUUAAAGAGUGCGUAAUAGCUCACUAGUCGAGUGGCACUGCGCCGAAAAUAUACCGGGGCUAAGCAUAAUACCGAAACUGUGGGUGCACCCGUAAGGGUGCGCGGUAGGAGAGCGUUCUAAGGGCGUUGAAGGUCGAUCGUGAGGACGGCUGGAGCGCUUAGAAGUGAGAAUGCCGGCAUGAGUAGCGAAAGAUCAGUGAGAAUCUGAUCCACCGUAUGACUAAGGUUUCCUGGGAAGGCUCGUCCUCCCAGGGUUAGUCGGGAUCUAAGGCGAGGCCGAGAGGCGUAGUCGAUGACAAGCAGGUUGAGAUUCCUGCACUAGUUUAUUUUGUUUAAGCGAUGGAGGGACGCAGGAGGCUAAGGAAAGCGCACGGCUGGAAAUGUGCGCCCAAGCAGCAAGUCUGACAGCGAGUGAAAUGCUUGCAGUCUUAAGGACAAGCUGUGAUGGGGAGCGAAAUUAUAGUAGCGAAGUUCCUGAUGUCACACUGCCAAGAAAAGCUUCUAGUGAGAAAUAAACUACCCGUACCGCAAACCGACACAGGUAGUCGAGGAGAGUAUCCUCAGGUGAGCGAGCGAACUCUCGUUAAGGAACUCGGCAAAAUGACCCCGUAACUUCGGAAGAAGGGGUGCUGACCGCAAGGUCAGCCGCAGUGAAUAGGCCCAAACAACUGUUUAUCAAAAACACAGGUCUCUGCUAAAUCGUAAGAUGAUGUAUAGGGGCUGACGCCUGCCCGGUGCUGGAAGGUUAAGAGGAUGAGUUAGCGCAAGCGAAGCCCAGAAUUGAAGCCCCAGUAAACGGCGGCCGUAACUAUAACGGUCCUAAGGUAGCGAAAUUCCUUGUCGGGUAAGUUCCGACCCGCACGAAAGGCGUAAUGAUUUGGGCACUGUCUCAACGAGAGACUCGGUGAAAUUAUAGUACCCGUGAAGAUGCGGGUUACCCGCGACAGGACGGAAAGACCCCAUGGAGCUUUACUGUAGCUUGAUAUUGAGUGUUUGUACCGCUUGUACAGGAUAGGUAGGAGCCGUAGAGAUCCGGAACGCUAGUUUCGAUGGAGGCGUUGGUGGGAUACUACCUAGCUGUAUGAACACUCUAACCCGCGCCACUAAUCGUGGCGGGAGACAGUGUCAGGUAGGCAGUUUGACUGGGGCGGUCGCCUCCUAAAAUGUAACGGAGGCGCCCAAAGGUUCCCUCAGAAUGGUUGGAAAUCAUUCGCAGAGUGUAAAGGUAUAAGGGAGCUUGACUGCGAGACUGACAAGUCGAGCAGGGACGAAAGUCGGGCUUAGUGAUCCGGUGGUUCCGUAUGGAAGGGCCAUCGCUCAACGGAUAAAAGCUACCCUGGGGAUAACAGGCUUCUCCCCCAAGAGUCCACAUCGACGGGGAGGUUUGGCACCUCGAUGUCGGCUCAUCGCAUCCUGGGGCUGUAGUCGGUCCCAAGGGUUGGGCUGUUCGCCCAUUAAAGCGGUACGCGAGCUGGGUUCAGAACGUCGUGAGACAGUUCGGUCCCUAUCCGUCGCGGGCGCAGGAAAUUUGAAGGAGGAGCUGUCCUUAGUACGAGAGGACCGGGAUGGACGUUCCGCUGGUGUACCAGUUGUGCCGCCAGGCGCAUCGCUGGGUAGCUAUGAACGGCAGGGAUAAACGCUGAAAGCAUCUAAGUGUGAAGCCCCCUCGAGAUGAGAUUUCCCAUUCCUAUAUGGAAGUAAGACCCUGAGAGAUGAUCAGGUAGAUAGGCUGGAAGUGGAAGUGCAGCGAUGCAUGGAGCGGACCAGUACUAAUCGGUCGAGGACUUAACCAA
rnacentral:rRNA from 1 species